AAAUGAAAGCACUAAAUGAAGUUUGCCUGAGCCAAGGAGGGCGGGAAGGAGUGAAAUAGAACUCAUGAAGAAGCAACAAUUUUGUUAGAGCCUAAUUUCAUGUUUACAAGCCAGGCAUUUACCGUCCUAGCCAAGUCACUGCGAACAGCCUUCCUCUUCAUCAGCUGCAACCGGAUAUCUAUGUCAAACUUCCUGCAGUGUUGAAUAUAUUCAUGACUUCCUAGUGGAUGUUUGC